rnacentral:rRNA from 1 species
AGCGAACGCUGGCGGCAGGCCUAAUACAUGCAAGUCGAACGGUCUCUUCGGAGGCAGUGGCGGACGGGUGAGUAACGCGUGGGAAUAUGCCCUUUGGUACGGAACAACUGAGGGAAACUUCAGCUAAUACCGUAUGUGCCCUUCGGGGAAGGAUUAUCGCCAUUGGAGUAGCCCGCGUUGGAUUAGGUAGUUGGUGGGGUAAAGGCCUACCAAGCCUACGAUCCAUAGCUGGUCUGAGAGGAUGAUCAGCCACACUGGGACGUGAGACACGGCCCAGACUCCUACGGGAGGCAGCAGUAGGGAAUCUUGCGCAAUGGGCGAAAGCCUGACGCAGCCAUGCCGCGUGAAUGAUGAAGGUCUUAGGAUUGUAAAAAUUCUUUCACCGGGGAAGAUAAUGACGGUACCCGGAGAAGAAGCCCCGGCUAACUUCGUGCCAGCAGCCGCGGU